rnacentral:lncRNA from 1 species
GAUUGUUCCAGGUAUUGGUCAAACCCUCAGGCGUUACCAGGGAAACUUAGUUAUGGCUUAGGAAAAACUUUAUUUGGAUUGUAAAACGCAUGGAAAUAUAAAUUAAUGGUCUUAAUUUCUUUAUUUGGCAAGUGACCAUGGUGUGUAAGGGAUAAUGCCCGACGAGGUGUCCAUAAACAGGAAUUAAUGGCCUACAUAUAGGCUGGCAUGAGCUCUGCCUUACUCACAGUCUGCUCCUGUGUGCUGUAAACCACCACAACCCAGUCAGUCUGUGAUGCUUCAUACUGAGGGGACCAGAGAGGCGAGGCGUUUUACCUCCUAGUUAGCUAUUGAAGGUCGUAUGCUAACCAGCUAGCCUCGGCUCAUCCCGGUUCCAAAGCUCCUGUGCAAGCACUGCAGUCAUAACACCAGUAAGUACCGCUAGCUGCAUGGCUGAUUGAGC